AACUUACACCAGUCCAUGAACACUUUUGCAAUAUCCUAUCUAUCAGCACCUGAAAUUUUUGGUUUGUGGAUCUGCCUUUCCAACAGAACAAAACUAAUUGCAUCCAGAAAUCAUCUCAGCAAUCCCACAAACCUAUACCCUCAUUUUUCCAGCCUUGAUUACACUAUUGUUUAAGUCUGAACAAUAAAAAUAAAAUGGUCAACACCAUAAUAAUGUCUUUUCAUAAAUAUGCCGUCUAAUCUCAUCCAUUUGCAAGAGGUGAAG
rnacentral:misc_RNA from 1 species